CUCGCGUCCCCUCACGCUCGCGCAGCUGCCCCGGCCCGUCCCACACACGCUUCUCCCGCCCCUGCCCCGCCCCUUCCACGCACGCAUGCUCCUUCGGCACCGAGGAGCGCCGCCUGCACGGGAGCCCAGAAUCCCUCCGCGGGGCGGGUCUGGGUGGCGCAGGGUCUCCUGGGAAAUGUAGUCCCCGCCCCUGCACGUUUUGGGGCCGCUGAGUGCGGGAAUUUCGGUUGCUGCUUUCCUCCCCCGGCUUGGGGGCCCCCGUACUCCGCCGCUCGCCCUCCCCGCCCGUCCAGCGCGAACUCCCCUCUCCUUUCCCCGGCGACCGGGUGGUCCCGACGCGGGAGGCGGGCACCCUGGGGACAAGUGUGCGCGUAGGAGCGCGCAGAGUUGAGACGGACCCCGUGAGAGGGAACGUGGGGAGCGGUCGCUCCGGUGCUCGGCGCCCACCCGAGCUCCGCGGGCAGCCAGGCCUGGCCCGGCGGCCGGGAGACGGGGCGGCAAGACGCGGAGCCACUCCUGCAGCGGGGGAGUUGGGGGUUGGGCGGACCCAGGAGAGGUCACCUGGCUGAGCGCGGCUGGGGGGCCGUGGUGGGCGUCCUGCGGCGACCGGUGCUUGGUGCGGGAGCUCUUCCGGGUCGGUCUGAAUUUCUUCGUCGGUUCACGGGCGGCAGCACCGUGCCGGGGUCUCCGUUCUUCCAAGACAAGGCCAUUGAUCUGCUUGCUGAUGGUGUGGGACCCUCCAGCAGAGUUAUUGGUACCAUCUUCCUUCCCUGUGAUGAGCUGCUCAGGGUGGAGAAGUUGCCAGCGGGAACUUCCAUCAAUGACUGUGGAUUCCAGGUCUACAAACACUGCCACAAACACAUGUGCCAGCACCUGUCUCACUGCAAAAGUGUUGAAGGAGUCAUCUCCUCCCCCAGUGGUCUUGUCAGUUGGCAUCUGAUCAUUGGGCUGGAUGCCCUAUUCCAGGCAGUAGAGCUCCCCGCAGGUAGUGCCAGUCUGAACACCAGCCUGGAUGGAAAUGAACUUGUGCAUGGUUGCUGCUUUAUGGCUGCAGAGCAGAUGGCAGAGAGGAAGAGGAAGGGCUGUUGCUUCUUACAGUGCCACUCUUAGGGGAUGGACGGAAGAACUUGCCUUUCCUCGGCAUUUUAGGAAAGUGGGCAGAGCUGGGUAGAGAGGAAGCGGUGUUACCAUUGAGAAGUCCUGCUCUACACCUGUGACUGUUCUUGUGUAUGUAACCUAUUUGUCAUCUGUUGCAACUUUUAGAUUCAUCAGCUUAUUUUUGGUAUUCAAAACUUUCAUGUUGAUAUGUUUAGUUCCAGUCUUUCAAGAAAUUGCCCAUUUUGGGGCGCCCAGGUGGCUCAGUCAGUUAAGCAUCUGCCUUCGUCUCAGGUCAUGAUCUCGGGAUCCUGGGAUGGAGCCCCACAUUGGGGUCCCUGCUUCUCCCUCUCACGAUGCCCCUUUCUACCCCACACUCGUGCUCUCUCUCUCAUGCUCUCUCAAAUAAAUAAAUAAAUCUUUUUUAAAAAAACUGCCGA
rnacentral:lncRNA from 1 species